rnacentral:tRNA from 1 species
CGGGACGUAGCUCAGCUUGACUAGAGCGCUUGCCUUGGAAGCAAGAGGUCGCAGGUUCGAAUCCUGCCGUUCCGACCA